GCGGGCGUUGGGCACUCGGCCGGCUCGCUGCCGUCCCCGCGGUGGUUGUGGGGCACGUGGCAGGAGAUGCAGCCGGGUGGCAGUGCCAGGCGGGUGAGAAGCACCCGGGGCUGCCUCCGCUGCACAUCUUGGAUCAGAUGUGCAGUGCGGGGCAACAGAGGUGCGGGGGCAGCCAGGGGGGUCGGCAGUGCCAGGCGGGUGAGAAGCACCCGGGGCUGCCUCCGCUGCACAUCUUUGGUCAGAUGUGCAGUGCGGGGCAACAGAGGUGCGGGGGCAGCCAGGGGGGUCGGCAGUGCCAGGCGGGUGAGAACCACCCGGGGCUGCCUCUGCCGCGCCUCUUCCAUCAGAUGCCCGCAGGGCAGCGGCUCAGAGAGCUGCCCAGAGGAUGCUGGCUGCCCCGAGAACGGCUCGCUGAGGGGCCUGGCGUCAGCCUGCGCCUCUCCACUGAGCUCCCUGCUGCUGCUGGGACGGUCACGGAGGGCUCUGGUGAAAGGAGAGGUGCUGAGCCUGCUGGGGACGGCUGGGAACGCCUGCUGGGGGACCUCCCGAGGACUCGACGCUUCUGCAAAACAAAGAACAUCCCCCAAAACCAGGACGGCAGCCUUCCCACAGCCACUCGGCGCGGACAUCCAUCCGCCACCGCUGCGGCCCCGGAACUCACCAACAAUCCAGCUGAGCAAACCGUCGAGUUCCAG
rnacentral:lncRNA from 1 species